UACGGAAUGUGCAAACGUUAUUCGGAAUCACUGGGCUUAAAGAGUCCGUAGGCGGCAUGUUAGGUGAGGUGUGAAAUCCCCCGGCUCAACCGAGGAAUUGCGCUUCAAACCGGCGUGCUUGAGGAAGAUAGAGGUGGGCGGAACUGAUGGUGGAGCGGUGAAAUGCGUUGAUAUCAUCAGGAACACCGGAGGCGAAGGCGGCCCACUGGGUCUUUUCUGACGCUGAGGGACGAAAGCUAGGGGAGCGAACGGG
rnacentral:rRNA from 3 species